rnacentral:rRNA from 1 species
AUUGACCGCUGGCGGCAGGCCUAACACAUGCACGUCGAACGAGUGGCGGACGGGUGAGUAAUGUCUGGGCAACUGCCUGAUGGAGGGGGAUAACUACUGGAAACGUUAGCUAAUACAGCAUACCAUCGGAUGUGCCCAGAGUGGAUUAGCUAGUAGGUGGGGUAAAGGCUCACCUAGGCGACCAUCCCUAGCUGGUCUGAGAGGCGGACCAGCCACACUGGAACGGAGACACGGUCCAGACUCCUACGGGAGGCGGCAGUGGGGAAGAUUGCACAAUGGGCGCAAGCCUGAUGCAGCCAGGCCGCGUGUAUGAAGAAGGCCUUCGGGUUGUAAAGUACUUUCAGCGGGGAGGCGUUACCCGCAGAAGAAGCCCCGGCUAACUCCGUGCCAGCAGCCGCGGUAAUUC